UGCAAAAAGAUAAGUGGUCUUACGUUGG
rnacentral:sRNA from 1 species